GGGGGGGGUCCAUAUGACUUUUCAGGGCAGUAAAGCACCAUCUCUAAGGCAGAUAACAUUGUAUGUGAGGAACAAGCCAGCUCUUCACAUCCUUUCCAUUUUAUAUUCACUCGAUAGUCCUCUGCAACAAUAGGGAAUCAACCCUAAGGUUAUUCUGGAAGCUAGGUACUGUAAUUUCAGAUGACAACUGAGGUCAAGUUUGGAGUCACCGAACAGUCCGAUCCAGACCUUCUGUGAAGCCCUGCCAGCUGAUGAGAUGUCCCUGGGCCUCUGAGAAAAAUGCUGACUAUCCCAGGCUUCAGGAGUUUGCUACUAAAUCCGCUCACAUUAAAACUGGGAGCCAAUGUUGAAGGAGUGCUCAAGAGUUCACUUAGAAAUUCUCUUGGGUGUUUCUUUAGAAACUCACUUGCACCUCUGUCAUCUUCCCCCAUUAUUUAGGAUGAGCCAUUAGAAAAUUUGAAGUUAACCAACUUAUACAUUGUACCAUGGAAUCUUCAAAAAACUGAAUUAAA
rnacentral:lncRNA from 1 species